rnacentral:rRNA from 1 species
GAUGAACGCUGGCGGCGUGCCUAAUACAUGCAAGUCGAGCGAACAGACGAGGAGCUUGCUCCUUUGACGUUAGCGGCGGACGGCUGAGUAACACGUGGGUAACCUACCUAUAAGACUGGGAUAACUUCGGGAAACCGGAGCUAAUACCGGAUAAUAUUUCGAACCGCAUGGUUCGAUAGUGAAAGAUGGCUUUGCUAUCACUUAUAGAUGGACCUGCGCCGUAUUAGCUAGUUGGUAAGGUAACGGCUUACCAAGGCAACGAUACGUAGCCGACCUGAGAGGGUGAUCGGCCACACUGGAACUGAGACACGGUCCAGACUCCUACGGGAGGCAGCAGUAGGGAAUCUUCCGCAAUGGGCGAAAGCCUGACGGAGCAACGCCGCGUGAGUGAUGAAGGUCUUCGGAUCGUAAAACUCUGUUAUUAGGGAAGAACAAACGUGUAAGUAACUGUGCACGUCUUGACGGUACCUAAUCAGAAAGCCACGGCUAACUACGUG